GAUGAACGCUGGCGGCGUGCCUAAUACAUGCAAGUCGAGCGAACGGACGAGGAGCUUGCUUUUCUGACGUUAGCGGCGGACGGGUGAGUAACACGUGGAUAACCUACCUAUAAGACUGGGAUAACUUCGGGAAACCGGAGCUAAUACCGGAUAAUAUAUUGAACCGCAUGGUUCAAAAGUGAAAGACGGUUUUGCUGUCACUUAUAGAUGGAUCCGCGCUGCAUUAGCUAGUUGGUAAGGUAACGGCUUACCAAGGCAACGAUGCAUAGCCGACCUGAGAGGGUGAUCGGCCACACUGGAACUGAGACACGGUCCAGACUCCUACGGGAGGCAGCAGUAGGGAAUCUUCCGCAAUGGGCGAAAGCCUGACGGAGCAACGCCGCGUGAGUGAUGAAGGUCUUCGGAUCGUAAAACUCUGUUAUUAGGGAAGAACAUAUGUGUAAGUAACUGUGAACGUCUUGACGGUACCUAAUCAGAAAGCCACGGCUAACUACGUG
rnacentral:rRNA from 1 species